GACGAACGCUGGCGGCGUGCUUAACACAUGCAAGUCGAACGGAAAGGCUCCAGCUUGCUGGAGUACUCGAGUGGCGAACGGGUGAGUAACACGUGGGUAAUCUGCCCUGCACUCUGGGAUAAGCCUGGGAAACUGGGUCUAAUACUGGAUAUGACCUUUCUCCUUAUGGGGUUUGGUGGAAAGUUUUUCGGUGUAGGAUGAGCCCGCGGCCUAUCAGCUUGUUGGUGGGGUGAUGGCCUACCAAGGCGACGACGGGUAGCCGGCCUGAGAGGGUGAUCGGCCACAUUGGGACUGAGAUACGGCCCAGACUCCUACGGGAGGCAGCAGUGGGGAAUAUUGCACAAUGGGCGGAAGCCUGAUGCAGCGACGCCGCGUGAGGGAUGACGGCCUUCGGGUUGUAAACCUCUUUCAGCAGGAACGAAGCGUAAGUGACGGUACCUGCAGAAGAAACACCGGCUAACUAUGU
rnacentral:rRNA from 1 species